UUCUUUAAGUAUUAAUUUAAAGUAAAACCUGCUCAAUGAAUAUUUCAAUAGCCGCAGUUAUCCUGUGCUAAGGUAGCAUAAUCAUUUGCUUUUUAAUUAAAAGAUAGAAUGAAAGGUUAAACGAUAAAAUAUUAUUUCAUUUUAAUAAAUUAAUUUAUUAUUAAAGUUAAAAUACUUUAAUAUAAAGAUAAGACGAUAAGACCCUAAUAAACUUAAUCAAUUAAUUGGGGCAAUAAAUUAAUAAAUCUUUAAUUUUUAAAUAAAUAUAUAAAUUAAUAAAAAAUUUAAUUUAGUUACUAUAGGGAUAACAGCGUUAUUUUUUUUUAAAGUUCUCAUAAAAAAAAAAGAUUACGACCUCGAUGUUGAAUUAUUAAACCUAAAAGGUGCAAAAACUUUACAAGGAAGUCUGUUCGACUAUUAAAUU
rnacentral:rRNA from 1 species